UCGAGGAUCUUUCGCAAUGGGCGCAAGCCUGACGAAGCGACGCCGUGUGAGUGAUGAAGGCCUUCGGGUUGUAAAGCUCUUUCGCUUGGGAACAAGAGAGAGGUAUGAAUAAUGCUUCGAUUUGAGGGUACCAGGUAAAGAAGCACCGGCUAACUCCGUGCCAGCAGCUGCGGUAAUACGGAGGGUGCAAGCAUUAAUCGGAUUUAUUGGGCGUAAAGGGUGCGUAGGCGGGUGAGUAAGUUGGAUGUGAAAUUUCGAGGCUCAACCUCGGAGCUGCAUUCAAAACUGCUCAUCUUGAGGGAUGGCGGAGAAAACGGAAUUCCACGUGUAGCGGUGAAAUGCGUAGAUAUGUGGAGGAACACCUGUGGCGAAAGCGGUUUUCUAGCCUAAACCUGACGCUGAGGCACGAGAGCAAGGGGAGCAAACAGGAUUAGAUACCCCGGUAGUCC
rnacentral:rRNA from 1 species